UCUACUCUUUUAGUAUAAUAUAUUACAUUUAGCUUCCAACUAAAAAAUUCAAUUUAAAGAGAAUAA
rnacentral:tRNA from 1 species